UUCGAAGUCUAUUUGUUUGAUAUGUUUGCUGGAAGUGUUUCGUUUCAUAAAUGUUAUUACUACGUGAAGCAGUAUGUUAUGUUAUGUCCUUUCGCUUGAUAUCGUUAAUGCUCACCACUUGCAGAAUCUUCGAAUAAAUGGUUCAAUGCUACUGCUCUCUAUAUAGAUUUGAAAGUGGCGCCUGAGCACUGUCAUUCUACAAAAUCCUAAUUGAACAUAAUUUUUGAAACCCAAUUAUGGAUAGAAACUGGAAGCGCCGCAUCACCCUUCGUUUUUCUACCAAAAGAAUUUCCUUCAAAGGUUAUUUCCGACUGAUUUUUAGCAAUCAUUGCGAAAAAGGGAUCUGCAGAUGAGAAUGGCAACUUCAUCCUUAAAACUUUCAAAUUUCUCGCAAUUGGUGUUGUCAGAUUCAAAUGGGAUCCUGAUAAAUUCUGUGAUGUGCAUGAAGACCUGGAGCUUGAUGGAAUCUCUAAAUCCUGUAUCUUACCAGUUUAUGAACCUUCAGAAAUUUUCAAUUAGUCAAUCGGCUGGUAAAAUUGCAAUGGUUCCAUUUUAUGCUUGGAUUAUUCUGGAAAUGACUACGGCACGGUUUUCUGUUCACUUCAUGCUACUUAAGAAAUGUAUUAAUCGGUUUUAUGUAUUAGUAUUAGCCAUAUCUCUAUCGUAAAUUAACUUUAAUUACAGCAUUAAAUGGCCCUGUACAAUUAAUUAUACAGUGGAACUUCAAUGAAUCUAAUAGCAAGUCUUCACAUUUAUAAUUUUUAUUGAUUAAAAAAUAAAUUCGAAACGUAUUUUAUCAAAUUUUCUUAAUCUUCAAUUUCGAAUGGAAUGGACAAAAUUGUGAGCUUCCCACUCCCUAAACGGUUUGAAGGUUAGUUCCGAUAUCAUAAGUAUUAGAUUCCGGAUCAAAUUUGGUGUCGAAAGAAACAAAUUGAGGCCCUUUCUAUAUUAAGUCCAAAUAGGUCGUCCUCUGAAUAUCCGUUUAUUAAACAUAUAAUUAAAUGUUCAUAAUGUCCAUAAUUCUAAUGUUAAUUCUGAAGUCCCCGUUAUUUUAUACUAUCUGGUUGGUUCAAUUUUGUUCUCGGUUUUCUCACUCGCCUGGUGUGCUGUAUUUCUUAAUCUAAAAAUAUCUUGAAAGAAUUCUGGGUAAUUAUCGUGUUAGAUUAGAAUGUUGCCUUCAUAAAUUUCUAUUUCAAAAAUUCAUUUUUUCUAUUCCUUCAUAUCUGAUAACACUCAAGCAAAUUCUGUCUUCUGAAAUAUGUUUGCUUCUUAAUCACUCGCUUAUUUCUUCUAGCCAUGUUUGAAAUAACAAGUUUAACUGAAAUUUUAAAUUGUUCCGACAAUAUUCACUUGUUAAUUUUCUUUUUUGCAGUUUCAUAGUAUUAAAAACUAGAUAACGGUAUUAAAAAAUAAGUGUUCAUGCAAUCGUGUUACGAAUUUUAGUCGGUUUCUAAGUUUUAACAAGUUUCUCCUCAAAGUGUAAAGCGCCUAUCAAAUUAAAAGCAGGGAUAAGCACCCGAGGAAAUGCAAAUAAAAACACAAAUAUCGCGCUGACCUAAGUCGCACGGACAAACGAGUCUCCCUGAAGUAACCCAUGAUGGGGCAGUAGAAUAGAACAGACUACAAUUGAUUUCUAUCGCACCUAUGUAAGGAAAUUGGCACAGAACUAUUUAAUGUUGGUCCGGCUUUAAAUUUAAAUCUCAAAUAUCUGGGUAAUUUGCAUUGGAUCGUGAACAUUUAAAUAUUGGCAGUUAUCCCUCGGCUCAGUCACUCAACACAAAACAUCUCGUAAUUCGGAAGUUUGGAAUUGCCGUAAUUUGAAAAUAUAGCAAUUUUAAGUUUGCGGAGAGUGCAAAAUAUUAGACGGCAAUAGCAAUUAUUUUAAUCGAAUUAGUUUAAUUUUUGGUUUAGUUACAAAUGCCGAUGUUAAAAGUACAAAUUGCACCUGAAAGUUUCAUUAAGGUUGGCUAACUCGAUGAAGUAAGAUUUGGGGGUACGAGUAGGUCAGAAAGGAAGUUAACACGUUAAAUAUCCUGUCCCUGUGUACUUUCUGUCUAGGCUGUUUGGGACCGGCGGUCUAAACGGAAAGUAUCGGUCCCCAGGGAACCGGUAUUUAAUGUGUUAACGACAAUUUGGGUUAGUAAAGUUAAAAAUCGAGUGCAGCGGUUGAUUACAAAAUUUAGUUAAUUUAGUUAGUGGGAUUGCAAUCGUCUUAAAUGGGGAGAAAGGAUUUGAGCCUGCCAAGUGCAGUUAAUACUUUAAAUAUUGGCAUACGGACAUCAGAAUUUAAAGUACUUGUAGGUUGAUAAUUCUAUUCCAACUUUCCGAAGUACGACUGUAAAAAUUCUUAGUAUUAUUUAUAGGGAAAUGUCGAGUCCUAACUUUUCUAUGGUACAUAUAAAUUUAUAAAUUGGAGAGUUUAAAAUAUCUUUACAAUUGCGUUUUGCACGGAUUUUUAUUUAAAUUUCGGGUUUAAAAUCUCAGGCGAAUAGUAUUGUAAACAUGGAAACAUCGCUUCUCGGCUCAAAUCAAAUUUUGAUAACUACCGAAAAUGAUAUGUUUAUUGACAAUCAUUCAAUAUAAUUCAAUAAGAAUUAAUCAUAAUAUAAAUAGUGAAUUUAAUGCUUUCAGAAUGUAAAUCCUUCACUUUAGAUCAAUGCAUUCUUAUUAAAUUCUCUAACGGAGAUUCGAGAAAACACCCAGAUUCCCUUCCCAAUUUUUGUAUUUUCCUUUUUCUGAUAACAUAGCUCUCUUAGCGAAUAAUUCAACUAAAUCUAGUAUCUGUUGAAUCUGGCAGGUCUCGAAUUUAAUUCAGAUGUUGGCAUUAAGUUAUUUGCAAGAAACUUAUAGCAACACUCAUCUACGCCAUCUUGUUAAAAUUGAUAUUGUGGUAUUUUUCAAAGGAUUUCUCUAAAUUAAAACUCCUAUAAAAACAAAGCAUUUAAUUACAUAGGCGCCUUCUUCUACAUACUUUAGUCUUGUAUUCCAAUAACUUUCAAAGUUUAAUCCAAUCCUGAAUAUUUAAGUGUCAGCUGCGAAAAAACCCUCCAUACUUGGAUGGAGCACAAUUUAAUGAAUAGAAUAAAUGCAGGUUUAAAUUUAGCAUGAUUUCUCAAAUAAAACCCCUUUAAUGCAACCGGUUAUAUUUGUUUUAUUUUAAACUAGAACCACUUCAAAAUUUUAAAUACUUGCAAUCGUCCAUUCCAUUCAAUCCUAACAUUUUUAAUAAACGUCUAAUUCAUUUGUAAUACUUCAAUAACUGUUUGAUAAAAAAAUUAGUCAUUAAUUUUCCCAAUAUGCAAAUUGAAUUAAAUGCGUUCUUUUUUGGAAUAAAUCACCUCAAUUUGCUUUGAGUAAUUGUAUAUCGAUAUCUUGCAUGUCGAUAUUGACAACUUUUCCUUAAGUCUGCAAUUAAAUCAUCUUGGAAAAUUCAGCUUUCACUGAAGUUC